rnacentral:lncRNA from 1 species
GUGAGAAUUCAAAUCUGUAGAACAGAACUAGAGAGCUUUUACAGAGAGGCCUUUGGGAGCCGAGGCUGGACUGUACUGCCGCCACCUCGGCUCACUGCAGCCUCCCUGCCUGAUUCUCCUGCCUCAGCCUGCCGAGUGCCUGGGAUUGCAGGCGCGCGCCGCCACGCCUGACUGGUUUUUGUAUUUUUUGGUGGAGACGGGGUUUCGCCAUGUUGGCCUGGCUGGUCUCCAGCUCCUGACCGCGAGUGGUCUGCCCGCCUGGGCCUCCCGAGGUGCCGGGAUUGCAGACGGAGUCUGGCUCACUCAGUGCUCAAUCUUGCCCAGCCUGGAGUGCAGUGGCGUGAUCUCGGCUCGCUACAACCUCCACCUCCCAGCCUCCUGCCUUGGCCUCCCAAAGUGCCGAGAUUGCAGCCUCUGCGCGGCCACCACCCCGUCUGGGAAGUGAGGAGCGUCUCUGCCUGACCGCCCGUCGUCUGGGAUGUGAGGAGCCCCUCUGCCCGGCCGCCCAGUCUGGGAAGUGAGGAGCGUCUCUGCCCGGCCGCCCAUCGUCUGAGAUGUGGGGAGCGCCUCUGUCCCGCCGCCCCGUCUGGGAUGUGAGGAGUGCCUCUUCCCGGCCGCAACCCCGUUUGGGAUCUGAGGAGUGUCUCUGCCCGACCGCCACCCCGUCUGGGAGGUGAGGAGCGUCUCUGCCCGGCCGCCCCGUCUGAGAAGUGAGGAGCCCCUCCGCCCGGCAGCCGCCCCAUCCGGGAAGUGAGGAGCGUCUCCGCCUGGCAGCCGCCCCGUCCAGGAGGUGGGGGGCAGCCCCCGCCCGGCCAGCCGCCCCUUCCGGGAGGGAGGUGGGGGGCAGCCCCCGCCCAGCCAGCCGCCCCGUCUGGGAGGGAGGUGGGGGGCAGCCCCCACCCAGCAGCCGCCCCGUCCGGGAGGUGGGGGGCGCCUCUGCCCGGCCACCCCGUCUGGGAAGUGAGGAGCCCCUCUGCCCGGCCGCCACCCCGUCUGGGAGGCAUGCCCAACAGCUUAUUGAGAGCGGGCCAUGAUGACGAUGGCGGUUUUGUCAAAUAGAAGGGGGGAAAUGUGGAGAAAGGAAAGAGGGGUGGGAUUGUUACUGUGUCUGUGUAGAAAGAAGUAGACAUAGGAGACUCCAUUUUGUUCUGUACUAAGAAAAAUUCUUC